rnacentral:rRNA from 1 species
GACGAACGCUGGCGGCGUGCCUAAUACAUGCAAGUAGAACGCUGAAGGAGGAGCUUGCUCUUCUGGAUGAUUUGCGAACGGGUGAGUAACGCGUAUGUAACCUGCCCGGUAGCGGGGGAUAACUAUUGGAAACGAUAGCUAAUACCGCAUAAGAGUAUAUGUUGCAUGACAUUUACUUAAAAGGUGCAAUUUUAUCACUACCAGUUGGACCUUCGUUGUAUUAGCUAGUUGGUGGGGUAACGGCUUACCAAGGCGACGAUACAUAGUCGACCUGAGAGGGGGGUCGGCCACACUGGGACUGAGACACGGGCCAGACUCCUACGGGAGGCAGCAGUAGGGAAUCUUCGGCAAUGGACGGAAGUCUGACCGGGCAACGCCGCGUGAGUGAAGAAGGUUUUCGGAUCGUAAAGCUCUGUUGUAAGAGAAGAACGAGAGUGGGAGUGGAAAGUGCACACUGUGACGGUAUCUUACCAGAAAGGGACGGCUAACUACGUG